CUGUUUAAAGGCACUGAAUGUGGUAUUUUGCCAGGCUGGGACUUGAUCCAAAAGGAAAAUACUGAAGAGAAACAGAGAAGAAACAGACUGUGUUUGCUGGAAUUCAAGACAACAAAAGGACACUGAGAGAAGAGGACGGUGACCAGUGAGAGGCGAAGCUGGACGACUUCGACUGUGAGAAUAGAGGGUGUAAUUGGACUGAAAGUGAAGCUUGAACUCAUGAUGGUUUAGAGAUGUCCACCGUCACAAACAAAGAGAAGAUCUCGGCGACCACAGGAGGGGCGAGGAUCCUGGAGAUCUCGAGGUCCGAGACCACCAGAGAGGGUCUGAGCGAGGACACAAUGUAUUGCGACCUCUGGUGUUCCAGAGGUCGAGAGAGGGAGUGUGGAGCAGGGAAAUUAUUUUACUGCUAUUGUUAAAUAAUUGUCAUCAGUACCAUUGCAUUAAGAAUAUAAUCUGCAGCAUGGAUAUUGCAUUCAGAGGUUUAAACAGUGUCUCUUUCAGAAAGACUGAGUUGCAGGCUGACAGGAAGUUGUAUGCAGAAGUGGAAGUUAUUUUGAGCCGCAGGCUAAGACGAGGCUUUAACAAUGUAACAGAUAGCUUUAAGAAGGCCUUAAGCAGUUAUGACUAUUUCAUACACAAUGCAUAUCUGUGCUUAUUAAAGAGUUGGAGCUCGGUCAAUUAAUUG
ensembl:lncRNA